rnacentral:sRNA from 1 species
AAUGCCAGAUGGCUCGACGUUUAUGUAUAAAAAAUGAAACCCUAUUAAGUAAACAUUUCCAUACUCUUGGGGUUAGGGAUACCUUUUCUAAGUAUGACAGGAGAGCUAGAAGCCAUAGAGGGAAUGGCUGGCUCUUUGUAGCCAAAACAAAAACAGAAAAAUGUCAAAAGAUGGAAAGACAAACCACAAACUGGAAAAGUAUUCCUCACAACUUACAGAUCAGAGAAAGGGUUAAUAUCCCUGUGGUACAAAGAACUCUCACAGGUCAAAUUUUUAAAGAGACGAAGGACAAAAACAUGCUCUUCAAAAGAGAAGCAGUUCAUAUGGCUAGUCACUGUAAAAAAUGCUCAACUUCACUGAUGAUGAAAAAUGAAAAUCUAAGCAUUAUUUAGAUAUCAUUUCUCACCAAUAGCCUGGCAAAGUUUUUACAUUUGGUAACAACGUAAAAGAAUGUCAAGAAACAGAGACUCUGCAGAGACUCUUGGUAGAGCGUACAUGGAUACUGCUGUCAUAGAGAACAAUUUGUCAGUCCCUGUCAAAAUUCUGAGUGUGUAGACGUUUGGCUUAGCACGUCUAAUUCUAGGAAUUUAUCUGAGAGAAAUACUUGGACACUUUUUCAAAGGUAUAUGUUCAAAAAUGUUCACAGCACUGUUUGAAAUGGCAGAGAAUUGGAAGCAACACUGACAUUGAUAUACAGAAAAUUCAAUGGGCCAGGCACAGUGGCCCACACCUGCAGUCCCAGCACUUGAGAGGCUGAGGUGGGUGGAUCUCUUGAGCUCAGGAGUUUGAGACAAGCCUGGGCAACACGACAAAACCCCAUCUCUACUAAAAAUUUAAAGAUUGGCUCGGUGCGGUGGUGUGCACAUGUAGUUCCAGCUCCACCUCCUGGAGGUGGAGGGCGGUUGGGAGGGUGCUGAGGUGGGAGGAUUGCUUAAGUCUAUGUCAAGACUGCUGUGAGCCUUGAUCAUACCACUGCACUCCAGCCUGGUGAGAGAGCAAGACCGUGACUCAAAAACAAAGAAAAUUGGAUGCAUAAAUAAGAGUGCCAGAUGUGCAGGUAAAUACCACGCAGCUGUUAAAGUAGGUCUGCAUGUGCUGACAUGGAAAGACAUGAAGGAGGGCUGUUGUGUGAAAAAACAAAUGGACAAAUAGGACAUGUCUAUGAUCCCAUCUUUUAAAACACAUGCAUGAUAUCAACAUGCAUACUCACAUCUGUUUAAAUGAAUCUGUGUGAGAGACAGAGACAGAGAGACAGGUACCAAACUGCUGAUGAUCACCUCUGCUGUGUGGGAUUGAGAGAGAUCCCUAAAAAAUUUUUUUUUCAUCAUGAAGUGAUGUUUACAUUUUUAAUAAUGUGCAUAUUACUUUUAUAACUAUAAGAUUAAAAUCAUACAUUAAAUGUUAUCCAUUUAUCACUGAUCUGUAAAGUAAUUAAAAUACAUCCUUUUUAUUUGUAAAGGUUUUUAAUUACAAAAACAAUAAAUGUUCAUUCCAGUAAAACAAGAAAAUCAGUAUAAACCAAGAAGCAAGUGAAGAACACAGUCCUUCUGCCCUGAAAGCAGCGCCCUUUGCACUUGCUGUUCAUCCUGCCAGGCCUUUCCCUUUGGGCACAGGCCUGUGUGUCAGGGUGGCUGGGGAAGAUUACAGGGCUUGGGCACUUUUGUGACCUGAUUUCCCUGCAGGUGAACCUUGGCUGGGCUGGCCAGUCAACACUCCUCCUCUUCAGCGUUUUCAGUUGCUGCACACCAUAAUGUAAUAAGCAUUGUAACUUACUAAUUAGUCCCUUUGCUAUUGAACUUUGGACCAUUUCCAAUUUCCCACUCCUGUAAUUGUGCUGAAGAAAAUCUCUGCAUCCAUGCAUCUCUAGGGCAACAGACUCCUAGAAGUGUGGUGUCUGGAUCAAAUUGUGUACAGAUUUUUGAAGUGUUGGUCACUUUUCUAUAUCAGAGGUCUCUGUCAAAGGUGAGCCUCGUUUGGGAAAUCAGGGCCUUGCAGAGAUGCUGGGGUCGAGACCCCAGGGAGAACAGGCAGGCGAGCUGGUAGUGGAGCAGAUCACAGCCCCUUGCAAGGAACCCCUGAGCCAGGAAGACUCCCUGCACCAGGCCUUAGGAGGCCUCUGCCUGCUCUGUAACUCGGCUUCUGAGCCAGGCCACUGGGCCCUGCCAUUCAUGGCAGAGGAGUGUACAGGUUGCCUGCUGGCUCUCUGCACACAGAGCCCCCCACCCCCUUGCCCCCUGAUCUAGAAAGAACAUCAGAGCAUCAAAGAUUGGAUUAUUGAGCUAGAUAGUCAAGGGACAACCUUGAACGUGUUUGUUCCAAGGGAGGUUCUUAGUUCGGAACCUGUAUGAGCUAGCCUAAGCCAAAGAAGUCUCUAUGAACCAUAUCCGGGGACUCAUGGAAACUGCAGGAACGUCAGAGCAUCAAGCUUGGGUUUGGAGCUGGAAACAGCACCCCACACCACUGCUCAGAUUCCUUCAGCCAUGACCCCCUGCCCCUGUCACCACCCCAAGCUGUGUGGCUGGUGCAUUCAGCUUCUCUGUGGAGAGGGCUCAGCCUGCCAUAACUCCAAGUGGGGAGGAGGGGUGCCAGUCCUCCCUCCUCUAAGUGUAAUGCCAGGGGAAAUCCCUCGAUCUCAGGCUGUCGGUGAGGCUGCAGUCACUAGCCUAUCUUUUGCCUCUAGGGAUGGAGCCCCCCAAACAGAAAAUAUCAAUGCUCAUACGAAGGAAACUCGCUGGGCUCUCCCUGAAGGAAGAGAGUGAGAAACCCCUGAUUGAACGUGGAAGCAGGAAGUGGCCAGGGAUCAAACCCACUGAAGUCACCAUCCAAAACAAGAUUCUUCUCCGGCCAACAUCAUCGAUAUCCACCACCAAAACCACCCUGGGCCACCUGGCGGCUGUGGAAGCCCGAGAUGCUGUGUACCUGAAAUAUUUAGCAUCAUUUGAGGAGGAGCUGAAGAGGAUCCAGGAUGACUGCACAUCUCAGAUGAAGGAGGCUCAGCGCUGGAAGGACAGCUGGAAGCAGUCCCUGCACACUAUCCAGAGCCUGUAUGUGUGACCCUCCACCCCACCAUGAAUAAACGCUUUCUUAUACAGA